CCUAUAAGAGUCAUUGCACUGCUAUGAGAAUCUCAUUUAAUCGAAAUAUUCGUAAAGUUUUUUAAAUUUACAAGUCUAUAAAUUAAAAAAGUAAAAAAUGGGUUAUUGUCCACCAGUCUGUUCACCUCCGGAUUGUCGUCCGAUCUGUGGACCUGCAUCUCCGCUCCUUUGCCAGAGCAGCGUGCCACCAACACAACGGUGCUAUCCUGUAAAUCCUUGCAUCAACAUAUACAGCUGUUACACUCAAAUUAUGUAACGCAAUGGACGAUUUCUAUAGUGAAUUUAAAAAUGUCUUACAAGUUUCUUUUCCCGAAACAGAUGGGUUUUCUUUUCAAGAUAUUGUUUUCAUUACAACGUACUCUAGAAGUUGGAUAGCAAAACUGAAAUUGCCUGUUUUGUAACUACUUAGUUAUUUAAAUUGCUAGGUUAAUUUAUCAUGUUAAAAUCUUUUACAUUAACUACGAACAGAUAAUUGCAAUUUGUUUUUAUUUCGGAAUUUUAAUGUCUUUUGAUUUCAUGUAUAUAUACUCGUACGUUUCUACGGUUGAAUUUUGCCACAUUUCACUACAAAUUGGCUUAGUUCUAAAUCUAGGUGGUUUAGUAAUAAGACAAUAAAGUAAACGAAACAGUAACAGGAGGCCCAAAAA